AAAGUUGUUGUCCUCUUAUAAAAGUCAUCAUCAUAUUGCAUACACAAUAUACCACCAUUAAAAUUAAAGUUCUUAUAUUAUGACAACUCCAAUAAUUAAUCAACCAUCCAUUAGUGUUAAAACACUUUCUGAAUCACCAAAUCUCAAAUUUAUCCCUUCUAAUUAUGUUAACACUAAUAUUUAUCCCCUUGAAUCUGAGCCACAUGAUCAUUCAAACUCAAUCCCCACCGUCGAUUUUUCGCUACUCAACUCCAUUGAUCCUCAUCAAAGGUCUCAAGCUAUCAACAAUCUCAAUAAAGCUUGUCGAGAAUGGGGAUUUUUCAUGGUGGUAAACCAUGGGAUACAAGAAAGUUUGAUGAAUAAAGUGAUUGAUGGUACUCAAGGAUUUUUCAAUUUAAGAGAAGAAGAGAAGAAAGAAUUUGAAGGGAAACAUGUUUUGGACCCUAUAAGAUAUGGAACAAGCUUCAAUACCUCUAAAGAGAAAACUUUCUUUUGGAGGGACUAUCUUAAGGUCUUUGUGCAUCCAAAGUUCCACUCUCCUAGCAAACCCGAUCGAUACAGUGAUAUUAUGUGGGAGUAUUGUGAGAAAGUUAGACAAGUAACAAAAGUAUUACUUGGAGGAAUAUCACAAGGUUUAGGACUUGAAGAAUGUUAUCUGGAAAAAACUCUAGAGGUGAAGUCAGGAUUUCAAAUUUUUAUCGCGAAUUAUUACCCUAGUUGUCCUCAGCCAGAACUUGCACUUGGUAUGCCACCUCAUUCAGAUCAUGGCCUAUUAACUCUAAUUAUUCAAAACCAAGUUGGAGGAUUACAAGUUCAACAUCAAGGCAAAUGGAUUCAUGUCAAUGCCCUUCCCAACUCACUCUUGGUCAAUACCGGCGACCAUCUCGAGAUAUUUAGUAAUGGAAAGUACAAAAGCAAUAUACACAAAGUAGUGGUGAACAACACAAGUCCAAGAAUAUCAGUAGCUGUUGCUCAUGGACCAUCACUAGAAGCAAUUGUAAGUCCAGCUUCUCCAUUGAUACAAAGUGAAACCAAUUAUACCCCAAUGAAGUACAAGGAUUACAUGGAGAUGCAACAAAGUAAUCAACUUCACCAAAAAUCCAUUUUGGAACAAGUCAAAAUUAAGAGGAAAUGAUUAUUUUCCCCCCCUAAUAUAUAAUUGGGAAAUAUAUAUUUAUGUAAUAUUUAUAGAAUCUAAAUGUACUGAUGCUUGUUAUUGAAUCCAA
rnacentral:misc_RNA from 1 species